rnacentral:tRNA from 1 species
UGCGGGGAAGGGCAAUGGAUGCAACGGGACUUAAGAUUGACCACUUGCGCUCAUCACCCAAAGGUCGGUGGUUCAAAUCCACCCCCCGCAA